UGUUGUUGCAGAUAUUUUAUUUGUUUUUCCACCCUGUCCCUCCAUAAGACUUCGUGCUUGACGGAGCAGGAGGUGCAGCGUGAGCCGGGCUGGAGUCAGCAGCUAACCUGGGUUUGAACUCGGUGGGGAGAGAGAGGGUGCUGGGCGAAACGGCAGAAAGAGCUGUGUCUUACAGAGUGUGUGACACAUCUGCAAAAUCAACAUGAGCUCAGGCAUUAAAAAGGUUCAUGCAUCGUGUUUCUAUACCUUACGGGUGUAGGUAUGCAUCAGUACAUGCUGUACAUGUGUGUGCGUGCGUGUGUACAGAAGGAGAGGAGAAGAGUGUCUGCACAGAGGUCUCACACUUGGCUGCGUCCAGCUGUGAUGGUAAUAGGAAUGGGCAGAAAUCGGAGGCAGACACACCGCUAAUGGUCCUCUCAAACUGGGAGGGAUGGUGAUCCCAGCACCACUCUCCCCUUCUGUGUGUGUGUGUGUGUGUGUGUGUGUGUGUGUGUGUGUGUGUGUGUGUGUGUGUGUGUGUGUGUGUGUGCAUAACACAGAUCUGCUCUCAUUUUACUCCCUGCCAGACUUUUACACUUGUCUUCUCUGUCUCUGUCUCCACACAACCUUUCUUUCCCGCUCUCAUUCCUCUUGAGGUGUCUCCUUUUAUCACAUCCUUUAUCAAUCUUCCUCCUCCCUUUUCCAUCUCUGUCUCCUCUUCUAUCUCCUUUUCUCUAAAUCUGCUGCAUCCUCUCCUGCGUCCUCACUUCCUUUAUCAUCCUGUGACUCUUCAUUUCUGCAGCCUCACUCUGUUUCUUUCAGCCGCUUCUCCCCUCAACACCGUCUUCUGUUGUUCUUUGCUUUUUCUUAUUCUAAUCAUUUUCCUGUCAUCUCUUUUGGCUACUAAAUGUCCUCUAAUUGUUUUCAUAAAUCAUCAGAAUGAAAGACUUGUUGAGGAGAUAUCUAAACAGUAGUACAGCAUUGAUGUUUUAAUAGUUCAAAUCUACUUUCUUCAAGUGUAAAAAUAGUUGCUGCAGGCAAAUUAACAUGAUGUUGGCUGAGUCUUUGAUGACUUUGAAGCUCAGAAAGCUGAGUCAAAGCUCUUCAGUCUGACUGGCUGCUAAACUCUGUAAGCCGGAGUCAAUAAGCCCGGUUCUCCCCCUGGGGUGUCCUUUACUUUUGGGUGAUUGGUUGGCAAAUUUAAGCACACAAAUUGCAUCCAGAAUCUAAGUAAAGGGAGACCUCCCUGCUACUUGUGAAGGUUUAUUUGAGGUUGAACCUUAUUUAAAAACUGUGAAACUUCCAGGGAACUUGAAAAGUUUGGACAGGGGAGUUGAAAAGUUGAGGCAAGGAGGAGAAAUUACAUUUGGCUUCAUUACAUUAGGAAUAAUAUUUAAUUUUUACCGCAUUAAAUCUCCUGUGAAACAGAUGUCUCAGUAUGACCUACAAAAGCAUCCGAGACGAUCAGCCAAAAGACUAACUGUACUGUAUUUUAUUAUUAAUGCUUGAAACCACAGCCAGGAGGGAUAAAGAUUUAAAGUGAGAAAUACAUUUGCUUAGUGUUCAGACACCAAACUUACGCAAGGACAAAUAGACAAUAUGACUGACCGUUUUAUUUGAGAGGGCAUCAAAAUAAAAAAAUAAAAAAAUAAAUGCAGUUCCUUCGGUGACCACUAAGGGUUGUUCCUAUAAAGGCCCAUUGUUUAAAAGUCAAAAUUUAUGAAAAGUAUAAGCAGUUAUCAAAGAUAUACACUCACCGGCCACUUUAUUAGGUACACCAUGCUAGUAACGGGUUGGAUCCCCUUUUGCCUUCAGAACUGCCUCAAUUCUUCGUGGCAUAGAUUCAACAAGGUGCUGGAAGCAUUCCUCAGAGAGCUUGGUCCAUAUUGACAUGAUGGCAUCACACAGUUGCUGCAGAUUUGUUGGCUGCACAUCCAUGAUGCGAAUCUCCCGUUCCACCACAUCCCAAAGAUGCUCUAUUGGAUUGAGAUCUGGUGACUGUGGAGGCCAUUUGAGUACAGUGAACUCAUUGUCAUGUUCAAGAAACCAGUCUGAGAUGAUUCCAGCUUUAUGACAUGGCGCAUUAUCCUGCUGAAAGUACCCAUCAGAAGUUGGGUACAUUGUGGUCAUAAAGGGAUGGACAUGGUCAGCAACAAUACUCAAGUAGGCUGUGGCGUUGCAACGAUGCUCAAUUGGUACCAAGGGGCCCAAAGAGUGCCAAGAAAAUAUUCCCCACACCAUGACACCACCACCACCAGCCUGAACCGUUGAUACAAGGCAGGAUGGAUCCAUGCUUUCAUGUUGUUGACGCCAAAUUCUGACCCUACCAUCCGAAUGUCGCAGCAGAAAUCGAGACUCAUCAGACCAGGCAACGUUUUUCCAAUCUUCUGUUGUCCAAUUUCGAUGAGCUUGUGCAAAUUGUAGCCUCAGUUUCCUGUUCUUAGCUGAAAGGAGUGGCACCCGGCGUGGUCUUCUGCUGCUGUAGCCCAUCUGCCUCAAAGUUCGACGUACUUUGCGUUCAGAGAUGCUCUUCUGCCUACCUUGGUUGGAACGGGUGGUUAUUUGAGUCACUGUUGCCUUUCUAUCAGCUCGAACCAGUCUGGCCAUUCUCCUCUGACCUCUGGCAUUAACAAGGCAUUUCCGCCCACAGAACUGCCGCUCACUGGAUAUUUUUUCUUUUUCGGACCAUUCUCUGUAAACCCUAGAGAUGGUUGUGCGUGAAAAUCCCAGUAGAUCAGCAGUUUCUGAAAUACUCAGACCAGCCCUUCUGGCACCAACAACCAUGCCACGUUCAAAGUCACUCAAAUCACCUUUCUUCCCCAUACUGAUGCUAGGUUUGAACUGCAGAAGAUUGUCUUGACCAUGUCGACAUGCCUAAAUGCACUAAGUUGCCGCCAUGUGAUUGGCUGAUUAGAAAUUAAGUGUUAACGAGCAGUUGGACAGGUGUACCUAAUAAAGUGGCCGGUGAGUGUAUAAUGAAGCCAUACUGGAAAUGCAAAAAAAAACAAAAAAAAAAAUGCAGUUCCCACGGUGACCACCAGGGUUUAGCUGCAAGAGUAGGUAUUCCCAUAAGGGCCCAUUGCUUAAAGGUCCACAUUUAUGAAAAUUAUAAGCAGUUAUUAAGGAUGUAUAAUGAAGCCAUACUGCAAGUGCAAGUAUUGAUUAAAAAAAUGCAGUUCCUUGGGUGACCACUAGGGCUUGGCUGCAAGAGUAGGAGGUUCUCAUAAGGGCCCAUUGUUUAAAAGUCAAAAUAUAUGAAAAUUACAAGCAGUUAAUAAGGACAUAUAAUAAAGCCAUACUGGAAGUGCAAAAAAAAAAAUAAUAAUAAUAAUGUAGCCAAGUGCAAGUAUUGACAAAAAAAAAAAAUGCAGUUCCUUGGGUGACCACUAGGGGUUGGCUGCAAGAGUAGGGGGUUCUCAUAAGGGCCCAUUUCUUAAUUUUAAAAUUUAUGAAAAUUAUAAGCAGUUAUCAAUGGUAUAUAAUGGUGCCAUGGUGAAAGUAAAAAAGAAAAUACAGAUUCCUCAGUGAUCUCUAGGGUUUGGCUACAAGAGUAGGGGGUUCCCAUAAGGGCCCAGUACAGUUGAGUACAGAUGUUUUCAUGUUUGUUUGUUUGUUUGUUUUUGCCUCUGAGGCUAAUUUUUCUAUUUAUGAAAAUAACAAAAGGAAAUAUUCGAAACAUCAGAUUGGUAAACGAUCCAGAUUAAACAUAUUUAGGAGUAAAGUCACUGUAAGUUACAUUUGGGUACUGCUAGCUUUUUUUCCUCUGUCUUACUUUCCAAAUGUAGCUGUCCAAGCAGAAGCUAAAAUUAGGGUUUUCAAAGAUGCCUGAGAUAGUUUAAGAGCUUGUAAAUACCUUGUAUCUGAGGGGCAACACAAAGCCUGAAAAUGAGCACAAUACCCCUCUCUAAUAACAGCAGGUUGCAUAAGUUCCAUUAGUAUUAAACUUUCUCUCUAAGGUUACGUAGGACAUUGCCACAAACAAGCUGUGACAUUAUCCUCCUUCUUUCUGAACGCCAGCAGCAGAGUGGCACAUAAAGUGAUUGAAAACUUUAGGGAGAGAAAAAGUGAUUAUAUAACGUGACAGAUAUGACCAGAUGGCGGUCUCCCUCUGUUGAAUUUAAAUGAUGCACCUGAAUCAACUUUUGAGUAAUGCAGAAAACUGGAUUUGUUUGUCCAAAUCGAUGCAGUUUGAGGAUCUGCCAAAGCCAAGCAGGACUGAGGCGAAUCAAUCUGCUGAGCUGCGUGGAAUACUAGUGCAUGCUGUGUGGUCACACUGACAGAUAAAUGCCACCACCUCCAGCAGGAAUUUAACUCACUGGAACUCAAAAAACAGCUCGAAAUGACUGCAGCGUCCCGAGCGCCACUGCAGCUCCAUCUUCUCGAAAGUACACAGACACCAAUAAAAAGCAGUUUUAAUCUUUAAACAGAUGCAGCCCCUCACACAGACAGAAGCAAUAAAGGCAUCACAGUUAAUUAAGAUGUAACCAUACUGCAAAGAAGGGCAUAAAGUAUAUUAUUGUUUUGUGGAAAUGAAAUGUGCUGCGGAUAUGAGCAGGGAAGUGCAAGAGGCUUCAACAAGAGCCGCUCUUUGUUUUGUAAUAUGUGUCACGUUAAAUGUAAUUUGCAAAUAUGGUAAUAUAAGAGGGGUAUUAAUAUGCACAUCAUGAAGGUGCAGGGAAACCACAACAACAGCAACAAUAAAGGCAAGCCAGCACGCUCACACACUCACCAAUACUUAAAUGAUUUCAAUAUUCCAGUAUUACCAGUCUUGAUCAGGUGAAUAUUGAUAAAUAGGUUGAUGUACUUUUUGAUAGCAUGCAUCAUUACCAUACAGAGCACUAAAUUGCUUCAGUUUUCAAGCGUGUUGUGCAGUUUUAAUAACCAUGCGCCUCAUUUCCAGAAGCCUAACAUGGGACAAACCUGCAAAUCAGCCGUGGUUAGAAGUCCGACACCGCAUUGGAUGCUCUUUUACGAGGCGUAACGAUCAUACCUUAUAUCACGAUCUUUGUAAGACGCAUUAUUAGACAGUUAACCACUUCAUAAACUUCAUAAACACAUUUAUAAAUGCUUAUAAUGCAACUUGAAGGGAUAUUCUGGCAUAAAAAUAAGUUAUGGUCAAACACACUGUAACACCAAGUUAGACACCCCUCAAGAGAUGAAUGUUGCCGACUGCUUGCUUCUCUAGUUAUACCAACUUUAGUAAUGACCUCAACCAAAGCGCCACUCUAUAGCCACAAAUAAUGCUCAGAACAGCACCUAACUUCAUCAACAGAACAUAUAGGGUCCCAGCCACAGUACUAACCACCAAACAUCUUUUUGGCUUUGCCUGUUUUUUUAAGUAAAGAAACCAAACAUAACUCACCUACUCUCUUCUAGCAGCCGCUUGUUUGUGAGGGAGCUCUGACGAGUCAAUCACCAAGUGCAGCGGAUCAUUUCCUUGAAGUAAUAGUCAUCAUAAUAAUCAUUUUGCACUGCAGACGUGGUAGUUCUUUUGCCUUAGGGUCUCAGUCUGAUUCCAUUUCCAUGAAGUAAUAAUCAUAAAUGUUCUUCCUUGAGCUGUGAAACUCCGCUGCACUCUGUGAUCGACUCGUCAGGGCUCCCCCACAAACAAGCGGCUGCUAAGGGAGAGUGGGUGAGUUGUGUUUAGUCUCUUUGCUUAAGAAAUCAGGCAAAGUUAAAAAGAUGUUUGAUGGCUAGUGCUAUGGCUGGGACCCUAUAUGUACUGUUGAUGAAGUUAGGUGCUGUUCUGAGCAUUAUUUGUGGCUAAAGAGUGGCGUUUUAUUUGGGGUUUGUUUAUGGCUCCUCAGACCUCUGUGUAUUACUAUCGUGCGGUCAUUACUAAAGUUGGUAAAACUAGAGAAGCAAGCAGUCGGCAACAUUCAUCUCUCGAGGGGGUCUUUAACUUGGUGUUACGGUGUGUUUGACCCUAACUUAAUUUUAAGCCAGAAUAUCCCUUUAAGGUUCACCAGGAGAUGUGAGACAGAGAGGGGACAGCUUGUUGUGUGUAAGGUGAUUAGAACUUUCUUUUGUGACUCUUUCUCUGAGUGUGAGGGCUUUAAGCUUCAUCAUAUAAAAAUAUUCCCAUGCCAUGAUGUGGCCCGAGCACGCAGACGUUGGUAUUAUGGACUCUUCUUCUUUCAGCGUUUGUAAUUGAAACUGAAAUUUGUUCUCGUGUUCGCCUCUACAGCAUGUCUGAGCCGGUAUAGCUCAAGUCUGCUUUCAUCUCAAGCUCAUGGUCAACAAAAAAAUGAAGCUAAUUUCAUUUUCAUAUCCUCCUUUUUUAUUGUCUUAUUUGUGUGGGGGCAACCCCCGAGACGUAAAGUGAAUUAUUAUCCCUCUCUUUCCCUAUGAAGUCCCCCCACACAUAAACAUUUCAUUAAUUUCAUCUCAGAAAUGCACUCUUUCUUAUCUGAGGAGUCCCUGAUGUUUUUCCUUCAUUUGUCAGCUGCCUGAGUUUAAUUUAUUCAUUAUCUGUUUCCCCUCGUCCUCUCUGCUCUGGGGUUGCUGAUUAUAGGUUAAUUUUUUUAUUUUUUUGCAAGAACCCUCUUUCAUUGAAUACAAGCAAGGCACAUGAAAGUUUGAUAGCUUUGAAUUAUUGAGAAAUUUGAUAUUUUCCUUGAGUUUGCAAUGAAAUAUAAACAGGCAGUUGAGGAAAUAGGAAGACAGAUGUGAUGAACUAAAUUAUCCUGAUGAUUUGAAUCAUUUUUUCCUCCGUUUUGGAAAUGACUGAACUUGUUAUGGUCGGGAGUAAUAUUUACAAAUGGAUGCAGCAGCUUGAAUUAUCAUCACAAGUACAAGUUUUACUUUGAACGCAUUUCUGUUAGAUUUCAUAUUUGCAUUUGUCUUUAUCGAAAAAACAGCAAAUCUCUAGAAAUGUUCAUGGCAGCUCUAUGCAGUUAAUGGAAAAUGACCAUAUUUGUGAUAUUUUCUCCUUGAUAGAUGAGCCACAGUAUGCAACUUAUGUCCACUAGCUGUAAAAGAAGUAGGUCAUAGUAUUUUAGACAUCCCCUGUCAAAAGGAAGUGAACAGAUUUUGAUCAAACUGACUUAUCAUCUCAGCAUCGUAUACAAGCAGAAGAAAACGAAACACAUCGCUCUGACUGCAGAUUAGCAGCGGGUUGGUACUUAAAAUAAGACAAAGAGAACCUGAGUAGGAGGUUAAUUGAACCCGUAUUUCUUCCUGCAUGCACAGUCUUAAUUAUUUAUUCAUUGAAGCCAAUUUAUACAGCAGCCUUAGACUCGGAGAAUGAUGUUUAAAAGACACCUCAGAGUCAUGAAAACUGACAGAAAAAAGUGUCAAAUAACGUGGUUGUGUUUUAAAUAUGCACUAGUAAACCUCCAUUCAAGAAAGUAAGGUGAUGAUAAACAGGGUAAACGCUCUUCAAUGACCUUUUCACAGUAUAAAGAGGGGAUGAUGACGAACUAAAUUGGUUUAAAGUUUGGAGACAAUAGAGAACAUAUUUCAUGGGAUGUUUCGUAGCAAUGAUAAACUAUCAACAAAUCAUUAGAGAUGAGGCUGAGACGGAGCAGUGGAUGGAGGUUUGAGCCCAGACUCCCCACCUCACCCCAGAAACGGAAGCUAAAGAAAAGAAAAACUUUCCAUGAUGUCCACAGAAAGCAUUUUUGACUUGGAGUAAGAUUCAGUCUUUUAUAUUACCUGAGCAUAUCAGUAAGGACAGCACAGCAGCAAAGCUUUUGAGAGAGAGAGAGAGAGUCUGAGCGAAAACCAUGUAACUCAGGUAAGGAAACCAGAUAUUACAAAAGUUUAAGUGCUGAAAGAGUGAAACACUACAAUUUUUUAUUUUAUUUUUUAAGUAUUUUGGGAGGGAUUUUUGAUUUUUAUUGAAAGUAUAGAGUAAAAUGUGGGGAGAUAGAGAGAGAGAGGAGGGAGGGCAUGCAGCACAUGGUUGGGGCCGGACUCAAACCCGCAACCUCUGCAGAGACUGUGAUUCC